CAAACUCUAGUAAUAAACCAGGAUUAGAUACCCUGUUAUACAGAGCCAAAAUCCAAAGCUUAAGCACUAAGACUUUACAGUUAAAACUUAAAUGACAUGGCGGCAGCUUCAAAUUUCAGGGGAACUUACCAGAUAAUUGAUAAUCCGCAAGAUACCCUACUUCACCUAAAAGUAUGUAUAUCGCCGUCUUCAGAGCCCAUCUUAGACGGGCUCAAAAUGUUAAACUACAACAAAAAGACAGGUCAAGAUGCAGCCUAUGGAGAAGUCUGUAAGGUGAGUUACAAUGAUUUGUAAUCUUAGAUUUAGCUUGAAAAUAGUUAAGAAAACCGGACUUGAAAGUAAAUUUAAUUAUAAAUAAAAAUUGAAUUUCAAAAAAGCUGUGCACAAAUCGCCCGUCACUCUCGUUGAAAAAGGAGAUAAGUCGUAACACAGUAAGAGUACCGGAAGGUGCUCUUG
rnacentral:rRNA from 1 species